ACCUGGGUGGCUCAAUGGUGGAGCAUCUGCCUUCGGCCCAGGGCGUGAUCCUAGAGUUCUGGGAUCGAGUCCCACCUCGGGUU
rnacentral:tRNA from 1 species